CCUACGGGGGGCUGCAGUAAGGAAUAUUGGUCAAUGGACGCAAGUCUGAACCAGCCAUGCCGCGUGGAGGAUGACGGUCCUCUGGAUUGUAAACUUCUUUUCUCUGGGACGAAACCCCCGAUUUCUAUCGGGCCUGACGGUACCAGAGGAAUAAGCACCGGCUAACUCCGUGCCAGCAGCCGCGGUAAUACGGAGGGUGCAAGCGUUAUCCGGAUUCACUGGGUUUAAAGGGUGCGUAGGUGGGCAGAUAAGUCAGUGGUGAAAUCUCUGGGCUUAACCCGGAAACUGCCAUUGAUACUAUUUGUCUUGAAUUCUCUGGAGGUAAGCGGAAUAUGUCAUGUAGCGGUGAAAUGCUUAGAUAUGACAUAGAACACCCAUUGCGAAGGCAGCUUACUACGGAGACAUUGACACUGAGGCACGAAAGCGUGGGGAUCAAACAGGAUUAGAUACCCCUGUAGUC
rnacentral:rRNA from 1 species